ACAAGUAGUCAGAGCCCGUUAAUGGGUGAUGGCGUGCCUUUUGUAGAAUGAACCGGCGAGUUACGAUUUGAUGCAAGGUUAAGCAGUAAAUGUGGAGCCGUAGCGAAAGCGAGUCUGAAUAGGGCGUUUAGUAUUUGGUCGUAGACCCGAAACCAGGUGAUCUACCCUUGGUCAGGUUGAAGUUCAGGUAACACUGAAUGGAGGACCGAACCGACUUACGUUGAAAAGUGAGCGGAUGAACUGAGGGUAGCGGAGAAAUUCCAAUCGAACCUGGAGAUAGCUGGUUCUCUCCGAAAUAGCUUUAGGGCUAGCCUCAAGUGAUGAUUAUUGGAGGUAGAGCACUGUUUGGACGAGGGGCCCCUCUCGGGUUACCGAAUUCAGACAAACUCCGAAUGCCAAUUAAUUUAACUUGGGAGUCAGAACAUGGGUGAUAAGGUCCGUGUUCGAAAGGGAAACAGCCCAGACCACCAGCUAAGGUCCCAAAAUAUAUGUUAAGUGGAAAAGGAUGUGGCGUUGCCCAGACAACUAGGAUGUUGGCUUAGAAGCAGCCAUCAUUUAAAGAGUGCGUAAUAGCUCACUAGUCGAGUGACACUGCGCCGAAAAUGUACCGGGGCUAAACAUAUUACCGAAGCUGUGGAUUGUCCUUUGGACAAUGGUAGGAGAGCGUUCUAAGGGCGUUGAAGCAUGAUCGUAAGGACAUGUGGAGCGCUUAGAAGUGAGAAUGCCGGUGUGAGUAGCGAAAGACGGGUGAGAAUCCCGUCCACCGAUUG
rnacentral:rRNA from 1 species